UACGAAGGGGGCUAGCGUUGCUCGGAAUCACUGGGCGUAAAGGGUGCGUAGGCGGGUCUUUUAAGUCAGGGGUGAAAUCCUGGAGCUCAACUCCAGAACUGCCUUUGAUACUGAGGAUCUUGAGUUCGGGAGAGGUGAGUGGAACUGCGAGUGUAGAGGUGAAAUUCGUAGAUAUUCGCAAGAACACCAGUGGCGAAGGCGGCUCACUGGCCCGGUACUGACGCUGAGGUGCGAAAGCGUGGGGAGCAACAGG
rnacentral:rRNA from 1 species